GACAUCACAAAGAACAGGUGAGUAAAAAAGAAAAUUUGCUAAGAGAGUCUCGGCUGGUGGGAAGAGAUCAAAUGGAAUUUUUGAAGAUGGCCUCGGAGUGAUUUUACAUCGAAUCAUUAGAUGUAAAUGGGUAGCCCAUUAUAGCUGUAGAGUAUAACACCAAGCGUGCGUACUCGGUAAGGUAGGAUUCGUGAGGAUUCUACAAAACAAGGUGGUAACACGAAAUUUCGUCCUUGCA
rnacentral:ncRNA from 1 species